GCAUACCGCCCUGGAGGGGAAAGCUCCGGCGCUUAGAGAUUGGUGUGCCGUCCGAUUAGCUAGUUGGUGGGGUAACGGCUCACCAAGGCGACGAUCGGGUAGGGGGUGUGAGAGCAUCGACCCCCCACACGGGUACUGAGACACGGACCCGACUCCUACGGGAGGCAGCAGUAAGGAAUAUUGGACAAUGGAGGGAACUCUGAUCCAGCCAUGCCGCGUGAAGGAUGAAGGCGCUCAGCGUUGUAAACUUCUUUUGGAUGGGAACAAUAACUUCUACGUGUAGGAGCUUGAGGGUACCAUCAGAAUAAGCACCGGCUAACUCCGUG
rnacentral:rRNA from 1 species